UUUAAUAGUCGAACAGACUAGCUUGCUUGGCUGCUACACUAAGCAGCACCUUUAAUUCAACAUCGAGGUCACAAGAUCUUUUAUCGAAUAGGCCUCUCUAAAAGCAUUGUGCUGUUAUCCCUGAGGUAACUACUCUUUAACUUGCUAAAGAUCUUGGUGGCGGCUAUGGGGUUGAUUUAUAAAUUAGAUAUGUUACUUGACCGCCCCAGUUUGACACAACAGCAACGAACCCCCAAAUUGUUUGAGGCUGAGUUUAGCUCUAAGCCAGCUCUGCAGGGUCUUAUCUUCCCAUUGGUUGGUUUUGAAGUUUUAAUCAAAGCCUUAAGUUGUAGUUUUACAGGUCUACAGAUCGUCUUUCAUGAACCCCUUCAUUCUAGACCCCAAUUAAGAACCAAAUUAUUAUGCUACCUUUGCACAGUUAAGG
rnacentral:rRNA from 1 species